rnacentral:rRNA from 1 species
GAUGAACGCUGGCGGCGUGCCUAAUACAUGCAAGUCGAGCGAACAGACGAGGAGCUUGCUCCUCUGACGUUAGCGGCGGACGGGUGAGUAACACGUGUAUAACCUACCUAUAAGACUGGGAUAACUUCGGGAAACCGGAGCUAAUACCGGAUAAUAUAUUGAACCGCAUGGUUCAAUAGUGAAAGACGGUUUUGCUGUCACUUAUAGAUGGAUCCGCGCCGCAUUAGCUAGUUGGUAAGGUAACGGCUUACCAAGGCAACGAUGCGUAGCCGACCUGAGAGGGUGAUCGGCCACCCUGGAACGGAGCCACGGACCAGAGUCCUAAGGGAGGCAGCAGUAGGGAAUCUUCCGCAAUGGGCGAAAGCAUGACGGAGCAACGCCGCGUGAGUGAUGAAGGUCUUCGGAUCGUAAAACUCUGUUAUUAGGGAAGAACAAAUGUGUAAGUAAAUAUGCACGUAUUGACGGUAACUAAUAAGAAAGCAACGGCUAACUACGUG